AGCCUAAAGGAAUUAAAGUAGCGCAAGCCUAUGACCUUGGAUAAUAGCUGACCUCAUCACCAAAUGGAUGCCGAUCUGGUGAAUAUCAACUGCAGCUCAUCAAAAGCUGACCUAUACAUUGGAUAGCACCACCCUAUGGAUCAUAACCUUAUACAUGAUGAAUCAAUCUUGGAUUCAAGCUGAAGUGGUACUCUGGUGCUAUGCUAACCUCAAACCACUGGCCAUCUCCAAGGCAAGGUCGACUCACAAG
rnacentral:lncRNA from 1 species